rnacentral:lncRNA from 1 species
CUUUGUAACUUGUCCUCCAUCCUAGCCUUGUGUCUUUUCUUCUCACGUUGAUCUCAAUAUUGUGGUUAAGGAAUUUUAUAUUGACAUUAAUUUUUCUCUAGAUCAACUUUAAUUUUAACAAGACACAAGGCUUCAUCAGGCACAACAUCUUCAAUCUUUUGGGUUACUCAAUAUGCAACUUGGGCAGGCAACAUAACGUUACAUAUUUCGUUUUGGGCUAUGAUAUUUUAUUUUGGCCAAAUAUAAUAUCGUUUCCCCAAAAAUUUCUGAGUAGUUAGGGUGCCUACGUACCUUAACGAGGAAUAGUCUCAUCUUGAUUGCUCAACAGCUCUAUUUCACGUCGGUCUAUGCCCACAAAGAUUUACUCUUAUGCGGUACCACGUGGAAAAUCAAGUAAGGCUAUACCGCUCGGGAACGGCUUGCUAAAGUACUCUGAGACAAGUAGACUGGUAGUCGUACACACACGUGUAUGCAAAUACCCCUAUGGUGACGCAUUUCUGUCAAAGAUAUGUGGCUAGCUCAGGCACAGUAUUUUAGCGGCAAAUUAUCCUUAAUUAUCUGAGAACACACUAUCAUUUUAUGUACAUACUGUGUGUUUUGUGUC